rnacentral:rRNA from 1 species
GACGAACGCUGGCGGCGUGCUUAACACAUGCGAGUCGAACGGAAAGGCCCUGCUUUUGUGGGGUGCUCGAGUGGCGAACGGGUGAGUAACACGUGAGUAACCUGCCCUUGACUUUGGGAUAACUUCAGGAAACUGGGGCUAAUACCGGAUAGGAGCUCCUGCUGCAUGGUGGGGGUUGGAAAGUUUCGGCGGUUGGGGAUGGACUCGCGGCUUAUCAGCUUGUUGGUGGGGUAGUGGCUUACCAAGGCUUUGACGGGUAGCCGGCCUGAGAGGGUGCCCGGCCACAUUGGGACUGAGAUACGGCCCAGACUCCUACGGGAGGCAGCAGUGGGGAAUAUUGCACAAUGGGCGGAAGCCUGAUGCAGCAACGCCGCGUGCGGGAUGACGGCCUUCGGGUUGUAAACCGCUUUCGCCUGUGACGAAGCGUGAGUGACGGUAAUGGGUAAAGAAGCACCGGCUAACUACGUG